rnacentral:rRNA from 1 species
AUUGAACGCUGGCGGCAGACCUAACACAUGCAAGUCGAGCGGAUGAAGGGAGCUUGCUCCUGGAUUCAGCGGCGGACGGGUGAGUAAUGCCUAGGAAUCUGCCUGGUAGUGGGGGAUAACGUCCGGAAACGGGCGCUAAUACCGCAUACGUCCUGAGGGAGAAAGUGGGGGAUCUUCGGACCUCACGCUAUCAGAUGAGCCUAGGUCGGAUUAGCUAGUUGGUGGGGUAAAGGCCUACCAAGGCGACGAUCCGUAACUGGUCUGAGAGGAUGAUCAGUCACACGGGAACUGAGACACGGUCCAGACUCCUACGGGAGGCAGCAGUGGGGAAUAUUGGACAAUGGGCGAAGGCCUGACCCAGCCAUGCCGCGUGUGUGAAGAGGGUCUUCGGAUCGUAAAGCACUUUAAUUGGGGAGGAAGGAAAGUAAGUUAAUACCUUGCUGUUUUGACGGUCCCAAAAAAAAAAGCCCCGGCUAACUUCGUG